AAACGACCACGAAGAAAGGGAAAGGAUGUGAAAAAGGUUCUGGAGGUUGGUGACGAACAAAAGAAAAUGACCGACUUUGACAAAGCUGCAAGUAAAAUAAGCCAAGCUGGUGAAGCUCAAAAUGGUGGUCAAAAGAAUGGAAGUCAAAUAAGAAAAUACUCGAGGGAGGAGAUGGAGACCCUGCGGUUUGUGAACAUUGUAGAGCAGAGAAAGUUGUGGAGAGUUAUAUGCACUGGGCUUGGAGACGCUGUUGUAAAGGAGUAUAAUGACUUGGC
rnacentral:misc_RNA from 1 species